rnacentral:misc_RNA from 1 species
UGCACUGUCACCUGGAUGUUCACAUCACCUGGGGACUGGCCACGGCUUUCUUGGUAGAGAAUGGAGUUGGAGAAUUGCAAUCUAUAGAGUCUCCUCCAGAAGAUCUGCCUCUAUGCUAAGAUCAAUCAUAAAAACUUAUCCAUUAUUAUUACAUGAAAUCAAUCAACGCUGAAAAUAGCUGUUGUUCUCCAAGUGUGUGAGUUUAGUAUUGUUUUCCCUGCAUUUGGGGAUAGUUUCUUGCUCUGUUUCAAGGUUCUUUUAUAUAGAUAAAAGUGGGUAUGAAAAAUCUGGUGCUGCAGUGCAGAUGUAAAACCAGGAGCCUGCUAUAUUUCUCGGUUCAGGAUGUACUUCUUUUCUCUUAUGGCUAAUGUUGAAAGAAGAUUCUCCAUUUCUUUCCAAUGUUCUCUCUGUUUCAGAAACCUGUCUUGAUCAACAAAUUGUUACACAAUCUCAAAAUGUGGGGCAUUUUUUAAUGGACUCAUUA